rnacentral:snoRNA from 1 species
GGGUCAAUGAUGAAAUCAUUGUCUUGACUCAAGUGAGGUGUUGUCUUAAAAGUCUUGUACAAUAGAGUUAUGGUGAGGACC